rnacentral:rRNA from 1 species
UACGUAGGGUGCAAGCGUUGUCCGGAAUUAUUGGGCGUAAAGAGCUCGUAGGCGGUUUGUCGCGUCUGCUGUGAAAACUCGGGGCUUAACUCCGGGCCUGCAGUGGGUACGGGCAGACUAGAGUGCGGUAGGGGAGACUGGAAUUCCCGGUGUAGCGGUGAAAUGUGUAGAGAUCGGGAGGAACACCGGUGGCGAAGGCGGGUCUCUGGGCAUUUCCUGACGCUGAGGCGCGAAAGCGUGGGGAGCAAACGGG